rnacentral:tRNA from 1 species
ACUCAUAACUUAUUUUAAGCUUUUGAUUUGAAAUCAAGAUGUUUGUUUUUAUUAACAAUGUGAGUU